rnacentral:lncRNA from 1 species
UGGGCCUUCAACUUGAGGGAGAAGGGAGCCCUGGUGUAGCUCUGAACAGACGGAGGGUGUGAUUUGCAUUAGGUGUGCACAGGAUCCCUCUGGCUGCAUGUUGGGCACAAAGUGUGGGGCAUGGACCCAGGGAGAGCAGCUGCAAGGCAGGACCCACAGGUGAUUCAAUCACUGAAGAGCCGGCGCACAGAGCCGUUCCUUAACACUCCCACGCCUUCAGCUUUUCCGGUAGCAGGCUCCGUGCUGAUCCCUGCACAGUCCUAGGAAAUCCUUAGGACAGCCCUGUUGGCUGCAAUCCCUGUGUUAUGGUUGAGGAAAACGAGGCUCAGGGCGGCGGCUUCUGGGCAGCAGGAUGAGCAUUUGUCACUAGCCCCUGACCUUAGGCCUGUGGAGGAGGCAGAGCCUGCCUACCGACCCUUGUCUUUGCAUUUGCACCUGCUCAGGUGAAGGGAGCCCACUGCGCAUGCGCCUGGACUAAUUAAAGCGCCCGGCGCGGGUCCCGCCCUUCCUGAAAGCGCCGGCUCGGCUUGGCGCGCUGCCUCGGCCCGAGGAUGCUGGUGAGGGGCAGGGACCGGGGACGGGGCCCAGCUGCCGCGUGGGCCUCUCUCCAGGGACUGACCCCAGCCCCUCUUCCCUUCAGAGUCCUAAUGCCUCCCUCGAUUCAGAGCUUCCGAGCGCCCCAGUCCUCGACGGGGACACCAGUGUCUCCCCGGGACGCCCCGAGAGGCUGUGCGCGCCGCCGGGGCUGGAGGAGGCCCUGAGCUCGCUGGGGCUGGAGGGGGAACGCGAGUACGCU